AGUUUUAUUGGGUCACAGAUCUGUGAUUGGGUAAUGAAAGUAAUUGAUUUUAUUUAUUUAUUGUUGAAUAGUGUGAAAGUGCCAACUAAACGCUUAUUGUGAUAAAUUAUCGAAAAAAACUUUUUCUUUGUUGAAAUGACAAUUUUGUUGGCAUCACUUUAUUACUAAACAAGUAACAUAACCUCACUUAAAAUGUAAAGUAAAAAAAAUGUUGAGCCUCCUUUGGGUGCUAUAAGGAGUGCCAGUUAAGGCCCACCGGGGCCCCCCCGAUAACCGACAAAUCGCCUCGGAAGUCUUCGAUGUGUGAUUACGAAUCUGAUGGGCUUCAUCCAGGAUAAUCCUGCGCCAGUGAACCCCAAAAACCAUCUCGGCUAUUUUCAUUCAAAAUCAAGGAAUAAGUCGUAAUCACAAUAUCGUGUUCAGUGAGUCGUUUUGGUUUAGUCUCGCGUUUAGCCCCGUGGUAGACUUCCACCGAUAAUUGCCCCCUUUUCGUUCUCCUCUUAAUAUCCUCCGACCAUUGGUUCAUAAGACUGGCGGGGCGUACCACCAAAGUGCCCCCUGGUCGCUUCUCACGAUGAUUUUCCUCGUCUUUAGUAUCAAGAUUUAGUUCUUUUGAUUUUAACACUAGGGAAAUUAUCGUGAGAGUUUUACCAAGUCCCAUGUCGUCGGCUAGGAGCUCCCCUGAUGGCUUCUGUUUCUCGCGCCAUAGAAGCCAAGCCAGGGCUUGUUUCUGGUGGGGCAUUAGAGGGAUUUUGAGACCUUGGGGCUCCUCCAGGGUGUCUUUCUCACCGGGGCAUGUCUCGAGUGACUUGUGAAGGGAUUCAAGAGUCUCCAGUGCCAUGGUUUUCUCGGCUUUGAAGCGAGCAACACCAAUUUUGCCUAAUGUUCGGGGCCCCACAGCGUCCACCCCAGCCUCGAUCUCCUCCCAGGCCACUUCAACGCGAUUCUGGGCUGUUAAAGGUGCCUCCUGGGUCACUUCCAUACCAACUAAAAAGUCGUGACAAUAGUCAACAUAUCGUAUUAACUAAGCGCAUUUUAUUGUGAUUUUAUUAAAAAACAUACUACAAUUU